UACGUAGGGUGCAAGCGUUGUCCGGAAUUAUUGGGCGUAAAGAGCUCGUAGGCGGUCUGUCGCGUCUGCUGUGAAAACUCAGGGCUUAACCCUGAGCUUGCAGUGGGUACGGGCAGACUAGAGUGCGGUAGGGGAGACUGGAAUUCCUGGUGUAGCGGUGAAAUGCGCAGAUAUCAGGAGGAACACCGGUGGCGAAGGCGGGUCUCUGGGCCGUAACUGACGCU
rnacentral:rRNA from 1 species